rnacentral:rRNA from 1 species
GACGAACGCUGGCGGCGCGUUUUAAGCAUGCAAGUCGAACGGUAGAGGGAGCUUGCUCCCUUUAGAAUGGCGAACGGGUGAGUAACACGUAGGUGAUCUGCCCUUGGGGUUGGGGAUAGCCUGUGGAAACACAGGGUAAUACCGAAUACGCUUUUCCGGUUAUGAUUGGAAAAGGAAAGGUGCUUCGGCACCACCCCAGGAUGAGCCUGCGGUCCAUUAGCUAGUUGGCGGGGUAAAGGCCCACCAAGGCGACGAUGGAUAUCCGGCCUGAGAGGGUGAACGGACACACUGGGACUGAGAUACGGCCCAGACUCCUACGGGAGGCAGCAGCUAAGAAUCUUCCGCAAUGGACGAAAGUCUGACGGAGCGACGCCGCGUGGAUGAUGAAGGCCGAAAGGUUGUAAAAUCCUUUUCUUAGUGAAGAAUAAUGUAAGGAGGGAAUGCCUUACAGAUGACAUUAACUGAGGAAUAAGCCCCGGCUAAUUACGUGCCAGCAGCCGCGGUAACACGUAUGGGGCAAGCGUUGUUCGGAAUUAUUGGGCGUAAAGGGUGCGCAGGCUGUGCUAUAAGUCAGGUGUUAAAGGUUAGGGCUCAACUCUAACAUGCCGCUUGAAACUGUAGUACUAGAGUUCUAGAGGGGAAGCUGGAAUUCCUGGUGUAGGGGUGAAAUCUGUAGAUAUCAGGAAGAACACCGGUGGCGAAGGCGAGCUUCUGGCUAUGAACUGACGCUGAGGCACGAAAGUAUGGGGAGCAAACAGGAUUAGAUACCCUGGUAGUCCAUACUGUAAACGUUGUACACUAGGUGUCGGGGUGUUAAUCUCGGUGCCGUAGCAAACGCGAUAAGUGUACCGCCUGGGGAGUAUGCCGGCAACGGUG